UAUGGCGGGUCAGAAAUAGGAGUGUGGAGGUGGCGAAGGAGGGAACAUAGGUAGAGGAGGUUGGAGCCUAGGAGUAGGCGGUACGGCGGCUACGAUGCGGCAUCUAAGUCUCCGAUACGGCUGUCACCGCCCCUUCUAACUUAGGCCCCUUUCAGCUGGGCCGUUUAGUAUAUCAGGGUUUUAGGGGCGACUCAAUACGAUUUUGUUAACCCCCGCCUCGCGCGCCGGUAGAUGCACCGCUACUGCCGCUCGCGGACUGUUCGGCACCAAGGGCAUAGCAGAAGACAGCGGGACAAAAUCGACUUCAAGUCCCUCUAUUAAAUAUGUGGAGGCUGACGAGACAAAAACCUCGUUAAGGAAAUUAACAAAAGUACGUUUGGUGAAGGAUAAAGAGUUAGAACAAGAGCGUACGCGCUCGAUUCUACAAUAUGAAGCCUAUACACCAGUAUCAAACCUAUAGUCACACGAUGGUGAUUCGUAAUAAUUAAACAACGUCGUUUUUUAAGUAGUAAAAACGGAGUUAGUAAGUCUGCUUGUGUGAACGUUUCUCGUUCCUGACAUAUGUCUCAAGUACACCUCUGUAAGAACCCAGACGUUCGGUUUCAAUCAGAAUAUAUACCCAAGUCUACUGCCAGAUAGUACGACCCAAGACUUUGUAGGCUGUUGUUCCACAACUGGGCUUUCAACUUACCACUCCACAGUAUGUAGAGUACCCUGUCAAAAAAAUGGAAGAUCACAGUGGCGAAGCGACUUUAGUAGGUAGUCGGUGUUAACAGUUAAGGGACGGGCUGCUGUCCUGACCAAGUAGCAACAGAUAAGGCUCCAGUAUACUCCCUUGGAGACACAAGUCGGGACUUAGUCCCGGUAUUUAGGUAGCAGAUGGUAGACGACUAAACCGGACUUAACCGUAGACAAGUACGUUAAGUCAUAGUAACCAAUGUAGUAAAGGAACCAAACGACGACGCUAAUCAAGCAGAUCUAAGAAUUAAAAGCCCAGUCCUAGGAGGAGACAGAGAAGCUGGGAACGAGAGACUACUGGGUGUUCAUAUCCCCUAGAUAGCAUCAGGAAAGCUAUUCAUUCUCACAGAUUGGGUUGCGCCUCGUCUUCCUUUACUGUUCGCCAAAAGUCAUUCCAUAAGAGACGUUCGUGACUUUAACAUCCAUUGCCUAUCAAAACGCUGUUCUAUUAAACAUUGCCGAUUGUUCGUUACUUUCAUUUAUUUCACGUUGUUCCACCGGGUUAGGAAAAACAUCGUUUCCUGUUCGGACCUGUUAAAGAAUAUUACUCUUUUCGCGAGAGCUCCU
rnacentral:rRNA from 1 species